UUCCGGUUGAUCCUGCCAGAUCCGACUGCUAUCCGGGUAAGACUAAGCCAUGCAAGUCGAAUGGAAUCGCUGAUUCCAUGGCGAACUGCUCAGUAACAAGUGAUCAACUUACCCUUCAGUGGGGGAUAACCUCGGGAAACUGAGGCUAAUCCGCCAUAGUUGGCACACCCUGGAAUGGGGUGCCCUCGAAAGAUAUUUCGAAAUGCCGAAUGUUCGCUGAAGGAUAGGAUCGCUUUCGAUUACGGUUGUUGGUGAGGUAAUGGCUCACCAAGCCUCUGAUCGAUAAGGGCCGUGAGAGCGGUAGCCCUGAGAUGGAUACUGAGACAAUGAUCCAGGCCUUACGAGGCGCAGCAGGCGCGAAACCUUUACAAUGCACAACAGUGUGAUAAGGUUACCCGGAGUGCUAAGAGAAAACUUUUAGCUGUUAUAGGUGUGUAAAUAACCUUAUGAGAAAGGAGAGGGCAAGGCUGGUGCCAGCCGCCGCGGUAAAACCAGCUCUUCAAGUGGUCGGGAAUAUUAUUGGGCUUAAAGUGUCCGUAGCCGGUUAGAACAGUUCCUGGUAAAAUCUGGCAGCUUAACUGUCAGGUCGCUAGGAAUACUAUCUUACUAGAGGGUGGGAAAGGUUUGGGGUACUCCAGGGGUAGCGGUGAAAUGCGAUAUUCCGUGGGGGACCACCAGUGGCGAAGGCGCCAGACUGGAACACGCCUGACGGUGAGGGACGAAAGCCAGGGGAGCGAACGGGAUUAGAUACCCCGGUAGUCCUGGCUGUAAACGAUGCGUGCUAGGUGUUGGUAGGGCUAUGAGCUGUAUCAGUGCCGUAGGGAAACUGUUUAGCGCGCCACCUGGGAAGUACGGUCGCAAGGCUGAAACUUAAAGGAAUUGGCGGGGGAGCACUACAACGGGUGGAGCCUGCGGUUUAAUUGGAUUCAACGCCGGAAAACUCACCGGGUGCGACAGCAACAUGUAGGUCAGGCUGAAGGUCUUACCUGAAUCGCUGAGAGGAGGUGCAUGGCCGUCGUCAGUUCGUACUGUGAAGCAUCCUGUUAAGUCAGGCAACGAGCGAGACCCGCGCCCACAGUUGCCAGCAUGUUCUCAGGAACGAUGGGUACACUGUGGGGACCGCCGCUGCUAAAGCGGAGGAAGGAACGGGCUACGGUAGGUCAGUAUGCCCCGAAUCUCCCGGGCUACACGCGGGCUACAAUGGUUGGGACAAUGGGCACCUACCCUGAAAAGGGAUGGUAAUCUCCGAAACCCAACCGUAGUUCGGAUUGAGGGCUGUAACUCGCCCUCAUGAAGCUGGAAUCCGUAGUAAUCGCGUUUCAACAUAGCGCGGUGAAUACGUCCCUGCUCCUUGCACACACCGCCCGU
rnacentral:rRNA from 1 species